rnacentral:tRNA from 1 species
AAAAUGCUAGUAAAAAAAUUACACUGCCUUGUCAAGGCAAAAUUGUGGGUUAAACUCCCGCGCAUCUUA